AAAUGCUCACUUGUCUCUCUAAGCAGUAGGGACAAGAAAAGAACCUAGGCUUCAUCUGCUGCAAUUUAGGAGAACCUCAAGUCAUAGACAUGCCCUUUCUAGAGUCAGCUUCAGAACUGGGAUGAAGCCAGACCUAACAAGAGCAACAAAGAUGUUGACUGGACUUCAGUUUGAAGACACAGAUUUCUUAUUUUUCUGAACAGAAUAUUGACACUUUCUUUCUCCUUCUAAGCUUUCAUCUUAAACAAUGGCCCAGGAAUCUGAGAUCAGUCAAAGCCUUCUCAGAGCUGCCACCUUACUGAACGGAAAAGAUGCCCAGUUAUAAAUCCUCCAUAGAAAGAUAUAAAUUACUUCUAAAAAUACAUUGCAUAUCUUUCUUUUUGUCUUGAAAAUUAAAGAUUUACUUGCUCU